CAUGAUUGGCUUAGCCAGGAUUGUUUAGAGGGUAGUCGCAGUCACCCCAACUCCGACUGGUUAGAUUGCUUUGUCAGUCUAAUUAGUAAGGUGAGAAACAACUAUUGUUGGAAACUUUAAUUUUUUUAAAAAAUUAAGGAACUGU
rnacentral:sRNA from 12 species